AGAGUUUGAUCAUGCCUCAGAUUGAACGCUGGCGGCAGGCCUAACACAUGCAAGUCGAGCGGUAGAGAGAAGCUUGCUUCUCUUGAGAGCGGCGGACGGGUGAGUAAUGCCUAGGAAUCUGCCUGGUAGUGGGGGAUAACGUUCGGAAACGGACGCUAAUACCGCAUACGUCCUACGGGAGAAAGCAGGGGACCUUCGGGCCUUGCGCUAUCAGAUGAGCCUAGGUCGGAUUAGCUAGUUGGUGGGGUAAUGGCUCACCAAGGCGACGAUCCGUAACUGGUCUGAGAGGAUGAUCAGUCACACUGGAACUGAGACACGGUCCAGACUCCUACGGGAGGCAGCAGUGGGGAAUAUUGGACAAUGGGCGAAAGCCUGAUCCAGCCAUGCCGCGUGUGUGAAGAAGGUCUUCGGAUUGUAAAGCACUUUAAGUUGGGAGGAAGGGCAGUAAAUUAAUACUUUGCUGUUUUGACGUUACCGACAGAAUAAGCACCGGCUAACUCUGUGCCAGCAGCCGCGGUAAUACAGAGGGUGCAAGCGUUAAUCGGAAUUACUGGGCGUAAAGCGCGCGUAGGUGGUUAGUUAAGUUGGAUGUGAAAUCCCCGGGCUCAACCUGGGAACUGCAUUCAAAACUGACUGACUAGAGU
rnacentral:rRNA from 1 species